UCUAAUAAAUUAGUGAUUAUUCAGUAGUGGAAGGAGAUGGGCAAAAUAAACAGAAUAAAUAUGGCGGAUAUAUGAUUCAUAUAGCCAUCAAAUUUUGUUGAGGUGCAGAUUGGUUGAUUACUAAAAAACGACACAUGCAAUUGUUCUUUGGUUUACAAUUCUGGUUCACACGAAGAGAAUAGAUUGGAGUUUAUUAUUGUAUCCUCUUCCAAAGUUUCCUAAAAUAAAGUGAUUGAAGACAUCUUAGGAUCUGUAAGCAUAUUGGCACAAGAUCAGUAGGAUAAUUAUGUUACUCAGGUAUGUUAAAGCUAUUCCUUCUUUCUUUUGGCAUGAUCUAAAGUGAAAUGAAUACGCUACUUCAUAACGGAUCUAGUCCUAGUAACUAAGGUUGUCCAUAUUGUUCUUUCCGUACAAAAUUAUUCUAAUCAAGUGUGUAUGAUCCUUGAAUCCUACUAAGGUUCAUAUCGGGUACGUCACCUAUUGUUCAACCACUGAUCAGUUGGGUUUAUCGAGUUCCACAUGGACGGGUACGAUUUUUACCGAGCCUUAUGAUGGCCGGGUACGUUUUACCGAGUCCUCUUUAAGGCCGGGUACGAUAUGAUGAUGAUGAUGAUGAUGGCCACAGAGGCGAAUAUUUUUUAAAAGUUUAUAUAUAUAUAUAUAUAUAUAUAUAUAUAUAUAUUAUCUGAUGACGACGAAGUCGGUUUACUCAUUCUCGACGUAAGAAGAUCAUAUUGAGCUUGCUUGACGAUUAGAUAGAAGAUUUUAAAGGUAUGUUAAAGCACUUCCUUAUUUCUUUUGGCAUGAAAUUAUGUGAAAUGAAUAUAUUAUUUCAUAAUGAAUCUACUCCUAGAAACUAAGGUUGUCCAUGUUGUUCUUUCCUUAUAAAAUAAUUCUAUGCAAGUGUGUAUGAUCCUUGAAUCCUACUGAGGUUCAUAUUGAAGGUAUGGAUGUCCACAAUGUUCUUAAGUCACUUCGGAAGUUUAGAACUUGAUUCCAUGAGUUAAGCAUGCAUUAUAUAUAUGUAGCUAUUUUACUCUACCGAGCUGCGGUAUAGUUGGCCGGGUACGACACCUAUUGUGCAACCACUGAUCAGUUAGAUUUACCGAGCUCCACGUGCCCGGGUAUGAUUCGACCGAGCCUUAUGAUGGUCGGGUACAUUUUUACCGAGUCUUCUUUUAGGCUGGGUACGAUAUGAUGAUAGUGAUGCCCACAGAGGCGAAUGUUUUUAAAGUUUAUGAAUAUAUAUAUAUAUAUAUAUAUAUAUUAUGCAUUUCAUGUAAGUAGUCCCCAGAGGCACAUAGAUGUUACAUGUUGUUUCUCUUCUAUCUGUCUUUACAUUACUAUUCUUAUUUAUAUUUUCCUGCCUUACAUACUCAAUACAUUAUUUCGUACUGGCAUCCUUUUGUUGGGGACGAUACGUUUCAUGCCCGCAGGUGUAGACAAUCAGUUAACGAUCCCUUGUGGUAGACGAGAUUGGCAUUAAGUGAAGGAUCGGUAAGACUCCACCUCAUUCGAAGUGCAGCUGAGUCUAAGAGUCAUCGUGUCAGAGUUUUACUACAUACUUAUGGGUAGGCUGCUAUCCUAUCCCAUUUAAUGUCAGAUACUUAUAGAUGCUUUGUAGACAGAGAUUUAUAUUGAAU
rnacentral:lncRNA from 1 species